GAUGAAGAACGUAGCGAAAUGCGAUAAAUAAUGUGAAUUGCAGAAUUCAGUGAAUCAUCGAAUCUUUGAACGCACAUUGCGCCCGCCAGUAUUCUGGCGGGCAUGCCUGUUCGAGCGUCAUUUCAACCAUCAAGCCCCCGGCUUGUGUUGGGGACCUGCGGCUGCCGCAGGCCCUGAAAAGCAGUGGCGGGCUCGCUGUCACACCGAGCGUAGUAGCAUACAUCUCGCUCUGGGCGUGCUGCGGGUUCCGGCCGUUAAACCACCUUCAUAACCCAAGGUUGACCUCGGAUCAGGUAGGAAGACCCGCUGAACUUAAGCAUAUCAAUAAGCGGAGGA
rnacentral:misc_RNA from 1 species